AAACUUUCAACAACGGAUCUCUUGGUUCUGGCAUCGAUGAAGAACGCAGCGAAAUGCGAUACGUAGUGUGAAUUGCAGAAUUCAGUGAAUCAUCGAAUCUUUGAACGCACAUUGCGCCCUUUGGUAUUCCAAAGGGCAUGCCUGUUCGAGCGUCAUU
rnacentral:rRNA from 4 species